GAAUAAGAGGAAGAAGACUGUUGAUAGCAGGAAGAGAAGGGAUGGGAGAUUGUUAUCUCUGAGAAAAGUUGUGAUAUUCAUAUAUAUAAUCUAGGUGAUGGGAUAUAAGGGUUUUAGUUUUUGUUGUUUGUGAAUGAUUCUAGACAUAGGGGAUGGGUGUAUUUAUUGACUUAAAUUGGCUGCAAGUCAAUAAACUUCCUUUACCAUUACAUGGGUCAAA